GCCUGGCAGGGGCAGGAGGGGGUGCACGGCUCCCCGGGUGGGUGUGCUCGUGUGCGUCUAUGCUCUCUGUCCUCAGCACACGGCCGUGUGCGCUGCCCCUGCGGCAGAGCCACAGAGCUCCCACACACACCCGCGUAAAGAGGUUUGUAUUUCUCUCGGGAACGGCUGGGGCAGGGGUGUGGCCCAGCAGAUGGCUGGCAGGUUACAGGUGUGCCUGGCUGGAAAGGCAGGCGGCCUGGCGUCCUGAUUGGCGGGCCGUGAGUCACGGCGGUUGGGUUCCUGGAGCGGGCUCGCUGGCUGUCAUGGAGUUGGGGUCAUGCCCUGUCUUAUCUCCAGCACCUCCUCUGCCCAGACGGACCAUGCUCCCCACCCGUGUCGGCGGUGACGCACGGAGGAGAGCCCAACAGUCCCAGAGGAACACAGAGAGGCCUGAGCCGGAGAGUGCCCGCCCAAGGUCACCAGGUGGAGGCUGGCAGCGAGCAGGAGCAGACACAGGGACAUCCACGCCACGACACCUGCCAGAGCUCUGCCCGCCUGACCAUGCAGACAGCUGCAGCCCCCAGCCCUCCACAAGGGUCCCGGGACCACUCACUUGGCCGGGGGACGGCAAGGAGCUCGCACGGCCACCUCCACCCAGGGCUGCAACUGCCGAGAAGCUCCAAGGUCCCAACAAACCUCCACAAGCUUCCCACAGCUUCCUGUCCCGUCUGCCGGCCUGAGCAGACAGGACUCUGGAGCCUGGGUGGGGGCAGCUGAGCUGGGAGGCCCCGGCCAGCUCCCUGUGGCUGCCAGGCUGCCUGCAGUCCCCCAGACCUGGCUGGGGCCCACCUGGCAGGCACAGAGCCUGGGCUGCACGCCAGGGGGAAUUUUCCACCUGCCUGGCCCUGCCGUCUGCUCUGUGGUCUGGAGCCGAGCGUGUCUCCAGCAUACACACCCGAAGGGCUGAUGCUCACCGAAUCCCAUGACAGCCGACAGUGUCAGAGGAGCCGUUGGUUCUGGGUCAUGAGGGUCCCCAGGUCACCCAGUGAGCCCCACCUUGAACAGACUGAGGCCUAAGAGAGCAAUGACACCAACAAGGUCACAGGGAGAGGCGCCCUGGGCCCAGAC
ensembl:lncRNA